AGAAACUUAGAAACUAUCGUUGGAUCGAAAAAUGGACGUUCGAGAUUCGUCCACAUCACCAUAAGUAAAAUUUUUACUCGUGAUGACAUGGACAAAUCUUAGACGUUUAUUUUUCGAUCUAAUGAUAGUUUCCAAGUUUUA
rnacentral:pre_miRNA from 1 species